GACGAACGCUGGCGGCGUGCUUAACACAUGCAAGUGGUGCGACGAACCAGGGCUUGCCCUGGGGCAGAGCCGCGAACGGGUGAGUAACACGUGGGUAACGUGCCCCGAUGACUGGGACAACCCGGGGAAACCCGGGCGUAAUACCGGAUGUGCUCCCUCACCUCGGUGAGACGAGCAAAGGAAGCUUCGGCCUCCGCGUUGGGAUCGGCCCGCGGCCCAUUAGCUUGUUGGUGAGGUAACGGCUCACCAAGGCUGCGAUGGGUAGCUGGUCUGAGAGGACGAUCAGCCACACUGGGACUGAGACACGGCCCAGACUCCUACGGGAGGCAGCAGUGGGGAAUCUUGCGCAAUGCGCGACAGCGUGACGCAGCAACGCCGCGUGGGGGAUGACGGCCU
rnacentral:rRNA from 1 species